UCUCCCGUGAGGGAGCAGUCUCGCCUGACACUUGUAACAGGCAACGAGGGUUGCGUUCGUUUCCCCACUUAAGGGAACAGCUCAAGCCACGAACUGACGACGGCCAUGCAUCACCUGCCAUACACCCUCGAAGGCUUCCUAUCUUUCAAUAGGCGUGCAGUAUGGUUUCUAGCCUUGGUAAGGUUCCUCGCUUACCGACGAAUUAAGCCCCAUGAUCCACCGCUUGUGCGAGCCCCCGUCUAUUCCUUUGAGUUUUAAGCUUGCGCUCGUACUACCCAGGCGGUCCGCUUAACGCGUUAGCUACGCCACAGAGAGGGUCGAUACUCCCUAUAGCUAGCGGACAGUGUUUAGGGCGUGGACUAC
rnacentral:misc_RNA from 1 species